rnacentral:lncRNA from 13 species
AUGCGUCACGCAUUGUUCGUCAGCAAGGACACUCCCACUCUGUUUUUAGCCAUGCUAGCUGUUUUGUCUUGUGAUCCUAUGUUGGCACGUUCUGUGUCCACUUAUGAUUCUCCGGGUGCUUUUUGGGACUGUGUCCCUGAUCCUCCUUUACUCUGCCCUGUUACUUGGGAUGACCCUGCCUUUACUGUCUUUCUUAACGACACCUCAAUAUUUGGCACCCCUUCAGCCGCUCAUAUCUAUCCUCAAUCAGCAGAUUACACAUUCUUUGGUCAAUCCAUUUCUCCUCCUAUGUGUUUCCAUGCUGCCAAACUGUAUUCUAUGCCCUUUUACAUAGAGGAUCCACAUUACACACCUGUAACUACUGCUCAGCCUUCACCCUCCUAUUGCUUCAAUUUAGGCAUUUGCAGUUCUUUUGCUUAUAGUGGCCUUGAAGCUGCACUCAAGGGUUCUCUCCAAUUUGCUAGAAAUUGGGUUACAUCCUAUAUUGGACUCAGGGAAUCAUCAGAAGUUACUCCUGCUAAACUGCCCAUAUACGACCAGCAACAUUGCUAUAAGACCAACAAAUCUUUUGACCCUGCACCUGUCUGGCGCCCUUGUCUUCCCCCAUCAGCUCAUGCUCUUCACUCCCACCUUAUUACAGGGUUUCCUCUUUAUGAUUGGUCUGUACCCUCUCAUCUUUCUGGCCUCUAUCGGUAUGUAGUUCCCGGAGCAUGGAAUACUCUGUAUACCAUAGCCUCUGGCAAAACCUAUUCCUCUUUAUGGAGGCUUUUUCUGGCUAUUCAUCCUUCUACAGUCUAUGCAGGCCUUGGAAGCAAUGUUGCUAAGCCUGUACAAACCUUCUCCAUCCAUUCUUGUGUAGCCGCUCCCUAUGCCUUUUUGCUAGGGCCAGUGUCUUUUCAUGUUCAAAAUGGUCAUUAUACUAUUUCCUGUUUAAAUUGCCUACUCACAAACUGUAGUGAUGCUUCCAGGUUCCCUGUUGAUACAAUUUUUAUUGUUCAUCAACCCCCUUAUGUUAUGCUCCCUGUAAAUAUUUCAGGUCCUUCGUAUGAUGAACAUUCAUACUCUCUGUUCUACAAAACCCAAUCUCUGCUCCUUUGA